rnacentral:rRNA from 1 species
UACGUAGGGUGCAAGCGUUAAUCGGAAUUACUGGGCGUAAAGCGUGCGCAGGCGGUUAUGCAAGACAGAGGUGAAAUCCCCGGGCUCAACCUGGGAACUGCCUUUGUGACUGCAUGGCUAGAGUACGGUAGAGGGGGAUGGAAUUCCGCGUGUAGCAGUGAAAUGCGUAGAUAUGCGGAGGAACACCGAUGGCGAGGGCAAUCCCCUGGACCUGUACUGACGCUCAUGCACGAAAGCGUGGGGAGCAAACAGG